CCCAGACUCCUACGGGAGGCAGCAGUGAGGAAUAUUGGUCAAUGGCCGGAAGGCUGAACCAGCCAAGUCGCGUGAGGGACGACUGCCCUAUGGGUUGUAAACCUCUUUUAUAAGGGAAGAAUAAAUGCUACGUGUAGCAUGAUGCCUGUACCUUAUGAAUAAGCAUCGGCUAACUCCGUGCCAGCAGCCGCGGUAAUACGGAGGGUGCAAGCGUUGUCCGGAAUCAUUGGGCGUAAAGAGUUCGUAGGUGGCAUAUUAAGUCUGGUGUUAAAUGCAGAAGCUCAACUUCUGUUCGGCACUGGAUACUGGUAAGCUUGAAUGCGGUAGAGGUAAAGGGAAUUCCUGGUGUAGCGGUGAAAUGCGUAGAUAUCAGGAGGAACAUCGGUGGCGUAAGCGCUUUACUGGGCCGUAAUUGACACUGAGGAACGAAAGCCGGGGUAGCAAAUGGGAUUAGAUACCCCUGUA
rnacentral:rRNA from 1 species